AAUUCACCAUUGAUGGAGAAAAGUAGCUAAGUUCCACAUUCAAAGAGAGGAAAUGCCACCGGCUGAGAGCAUUUCUGAAUGAUGACUUUGUGAAAGACACUUCUGAGGUUUCAAUUCGAACGGAUUUUCAUCCCUAAGUAGAGUUGAACGCUAGCAGGCGUUAUUGCAAAAUAAAGCGGAAGCUUGUGUUAGCUUCAACUUAGGGUGGCACCGCGGGUAUAAUAACUCCCGUCCCUAUU
rnacentral:ncRNA from 1 species